rnacentral:misc_RNA from 1 species
GAUGAAGAACGUAGCGAAAUGCGAUAAGUAAUGUGAAUUGCAGAAUUCAGUGAAUCAUCGAAUCUUUGAACGCACAUUGCGCCCCCUGGUAUUCCGGGGGGCAUGCCUGUUCGAGCGUCAUUACAACCCUCAAGCUCUGCUUGGUAUUGGGCCCCGCCAGUUCUGGCGGGCCCUAAAGUCAGUGGCGGUGCCUUCCGGCCCCGAGCGUAGUAAUUCUUCUCGCUCUGGAGACCCGGUUGUGUGCUUGCCAACAACCCCCAAUUUUUUAAGGUUGACCUCGGAUCAGGUAGGGAUACCCGCUGAACUUAAGCAUAUCAAUAAGCGGAGGA